CGCUGGCGGCGUGCCUAAUACAUGCAAGUCGAACGCUUUGUGGUUCAACUGAUUUGAAGAGCUUGCUCAGAUAUGACGAUGGACAUUGCAAAGAGUGGCGAACGGGUGAGUAACACGUGGGAAACCUACCUCUUAGCAGGGGAUAACAUUUGGAAACAGAUGCUAAUACCGUAUAACAAUGACAACCGCAUGGUUGUUAUUUAAAAGAUGGUUCUGCUAUCACUAAGAGAUGGUCCCGCGGUGCAUUAGCUAGUUGGUAAGGUAAUGGCUUACCAAGGCGAUGAUGCAUAGCCGAGUUGAGAGACUGAUCGGCCACAAUGGGACUGAGACACGGCCCAUACUCCUACGGGAGGCAGCAGUAGGGAAUCUUCCACAAUGGGCGAAAGCCUGAUGGAGCAACGCCGCGUGUGUGAUGAAGGGUUUCGGCUCGUAAAACACUGUUGUAAGAGAAGAAUGACAUUGAGAGUAACUGUUCAAUGUGUGACGGUAUCUUACCAGAAAGGAACGGCUAAAUACGUGCCAGCAGCCGCGGUAAUACGUAUGUUCCAAGCGUUAUCCGGAUUUAUUGGGCGUAAAGCGAGCGCAGACGGUUAUUUAAGUCUGAAGUGAAAGCCCUCAGCUCAACUGAGGAAUUGCUUUGGAAACUGGAUGACUUGAGUGCAGUAGAGGAAAGUGGAACUCCAUGUGUAGCGGUGAAAUGCGUAGAUAUAUGGAAGAACACCAGUGGCGAAGGCGGCUUUCUGGACUGUAACUGACGUUGAGGCUCGAAAGUGUGGGUAGCAAACAGGAUUAGAUACCCUGGUAGUCCACACCGUAAACGAUGAGUGCUAGGUGUUUGAGGGUUUCCGCCCUUAAGUGCCGCAGCUAACGCAUUAAGCACUCCGCCUGGGGAGUACGACCGCAAGGUUGAAACUCAAAGGAAUUGACGGGGACCCGCACAAGCGGUGGAGCAUGUGGUUUAAUUCGAAGCAACGCGAAGAACCUUACCAGGUCUUGACAUCCCUUGACAACUCCAGAGAUGGAGCGUUCCCUUCGGGGACAAGGUGACAGGUGGUGCAUGGUUGUCGUCAGCUCGUGUCGUGAGAUGUUGGGUUAAGUCCCGCAACGAGCGCAACCCUUAUUACUAGUUGCCAGCAUUCAGUUGGGCACUCUAGUGAGACUGCCGGUGACAAACCGGAGGAAGGUGGGGAUGACGUCAAAUCAUCAUGCCCCUUAUGACCUGGGCUACACACGUGCUACAAUGGCGUAUACAACGAGUUGCCAACCCGCGAGGGUGAGCUAAUCUCUUAAAGUACGUCUCAGUUCGGAUUGUAGGCUGCAACUCGCCUACAUGAAGUCGGAAUCGCUAGUAAUCGCGGAUCAGCACGCCGCGGUGAAUACGUUCCCGGGUCUUGUACACACCGCCCGUCACACCAUGAGAGUUUGUAACACCCAAAGCCGGUGGGGUAACCUUCGGGAGCCAGCCGUCUAAGGUGGGACAGAU
rnacentral:rRNA from 1 species